GCCAAUCUGUGUGAGAGAUUCCGAGUGGAUCCGAUGAAGAAGGUGAUGGUAAGCGAUGGAAAGACCAGAUUCUUCACCAGCAAAGACAACAAACCCAUCUUCCAUUUCCUCAACACAUCCACCUUCUCUGAGUACACGGUCAUAGACUCUGCUUGCGUGCUCAAGGUGGACCCUCUGUUUCCUCUGGAGAAGAUAAGCCUCCUCAGCUGCGGUGUCUCCACUGGUAAAAUUUACAUUUGGCUGCAUCCAUCUCUGAAUAUAUGUAUAUGACAUUUGGCUGCUUAUUUAAUGAAAGAGAUAAGUGUUUUAUGGAAUGAAGG
rnacentral:lncRNA from 1 species